rnacentral:rRNA from 1 species
CAGUCGCCGCGGGAAUACGGAGGGUGCAAGCGUUGUCCGGAUUUAUUGGGUUUAAAGGGUGCGCAGGCGGGGGGGUCAGUCCGCGGUGAAAGACGAUCGCUCAACGAUUGCAGUGCCGUGGAUACUGCCCUUCUUGAAUCUGGUUGAGGCCGGUGGAAUUGACCGUGUAGCGGUGAAAUGCAUAGAUAUGGUCAAGAACUCCAAUUGCGAAGGCAGCCGACUGGGCCAGCAUUGACGCUCAGGCACGAGAGUGCGGGGAUCAAACAGGAUUAGAUACCCCAGUAGUCCCUGUCUCUUAUAA